rnacentral:lncRNA from 1 species
GUCCUCUUAACCAGGGAGUGUGAAGACACUGGUAUAGCAUACAGGUGAGAUUUAGAAGUACAUCAUCACUGAAUAAAUGACUCACCUGCUGAGCGCUCUGCUGUCAAGAGUAGCUCACAAAGUGUAUGGGUAUAAGUGUCUCUCAGAUUUGAGAUCACCAUAGUGACUUGCAAGCAACUCACUGUGUUUUGGUACUGGACUAUCUAUAUUUCUAAUGC